rnacentral:hammerhead_ribozyme from 1 species
AUUCAGCUGACGAGUCCCAGAUAAGACGAAACGCCUCCUGGAU